CUCCACAUCCAUGCUUCGCAGGGUCGGGCCUGGUUAGUACUUGAAUGGGAGACCUCCUGGGAAUACUGGAUGCUGUAGGCU
rnacentral:rRNA from 1 species